AUGGCCGACGCGGGUCAAAGUGCACUAUCUGUUCUUUAUCAGGUUGUAUCUGAUACGGGUUGUAUUAUUUGGACCCAAGGUAUUAAACUUAUUUUUGCAAGUUGGCGGAGUGCUUGAAGCCUGCUUCACCUCCGCCGCGAGUCGGCCCAGUAUUGCACUAUCUUCGGGAUUUUUCGUCUACG